rnacentral:rRNA from 1 species
UUAGCGACUGCGGAAGACAUUACAUUCAGUAGCCUAGCUACUUGUUUACACCCUUGUUUUUGCGUACCUAUUGUUUCCUCGGCGGGCUUGCUCGCCGGUUGGACAAAACUAUAACCUUUUUUAAAUCUUCAAUCAGCGUCUGAAUUAUACAUAAUAAUUACAACUUUCAACAACGGAUCUCUUGGUUCUGGCAUCGAUGAAGAACGCAGCGAAAUGCGAUAAGUAGUGUGAAUUGCAGAAUUCAGUGAAUCAUCGAAUCUUUGAACGCACAUUGCGCCCCUUGGUAUUCCAUGGGGCAUGCCUGUUCGAGCGUCAUUUGUACCCUCAAGCUUUGCUUGGUGUUGGGCGUCUUGUCUUGUAUUAGACUCGCCUUAAAGUCAUUGGCAGCCAGUGUUUUUGGUAGUAAGCGCAGCACAUUUUGCGUCUUAGUCCUUGAAUCGUGGCAUCCAUGAAGCCUUUUUUCACUUUUGACCUCGGAUCAGGUAGGGAUACCCGCUGAACUUAAGCAUAUCAA